CUCUCUCUCUCUAUCUGUCGUCUAUUACCAAACUUUUUCAUUUCCUCUCUGCGUGUGUGGUUUAGUUUUGUCACAGAUACCAAACAUACCCCUAGAAUCUCCUUUCUCUCUCGAAUUGCUACUAGUAGAUCAUACAAAACAUCGAUUACUCGUUCUAUCUAUAUAUAUCAGUCUCUGUUUUUGUUUCUUGAGUUUCAUGCUUGUUAGAUUUGAUCGAUUUUGCAUACUAGUAUAUUAACUGCUCAUGGAACGGAUCGUCGGUGGUAAAUACAAGCUCGGCCGUAAGAUCGGCAGUGGUUCCUUCGGCGAAAUCUUUCUCGCUACACAUAUCGAUACGUUUGAAAUCGUCGCCGUUAAGAUCGAGAAUAGUAAAACAAAGCAUCCACAAUUACUUUAUGAAGCUAAAUUGUAUAAUCUACUUCAAGGAGGAAGUGGUAUUCCUAGUAUAAAAUGGUCUGGUGCUGACGGGGAAGAUAAUGUACUGGUUCUUGAUUUACUGGGGCCAAGUCUUGAAGACUUGUUUGUUUAUUGUGGGAGGAAAUUCUCACUAAAGACGGUGUUAAUGUUAGCUGAUCAAAUGAUUACAAGAAUAGAGUAUGCACAUUCUAAAGGAUUUCUGCAUAGAGAUAUUAAACCUGAUAACUUUCUCAUGGGUCUUGGUCGAAAAGCAAAUCAGGUUUACAUAAUUGAUUUUGGCCUUGCGAAAAGAUAUCGUGAUGCCACAACUAAUCGCCAUAUUCCUUAUAGGGAAAAUAAAAACUUGACGGGAACUGCACGUUAUGCCAGUUGCAAUACUCACCUUGGAAUUGAGCAAAGUCGGCGGGAUGAUUUGGAGUCACUUGGCUAUGUACUGUUAUAUUUUCUGAGAGGAAGCCUUCCAUGGCAGGGUUUGAAAGCUGCCACAAAAAAGCAAAAAUACGAUAAGAUAUGUGAAAAGAAAUUAUCAACUCCUAUCGAGGUUUUAUGCAAAUCCCAUCCGGUGGAGUUUGCUUCAUACCUACAUUAUUGCCACUCACUGACAUUUGAUCAAAGACCUGAUUAUGGAUUCUUAAAGCGCCUGUUCAGAGAUUUGUUUGCCCGGGAAGGAUAUGAAUUUGAUUACGUAUUUGAUUGGACCCUCAUAAAGUACCAUCAGGCACAAAAGAAUAGAACUCAACCUCGUUUAUCUCCAGUUCCUGGAGCAAGUAGCAGUCACAUAGUGCCCACAGAUAUGGAGAAUCAUCAAGUGGCAGGAAGCAAUAAUGCUCCAUAUUCCACUGAUCUCAUGCGAUCUGCUGGUCCUGGUGUACGCAUGCAAUUCAAAUCAUCAACGGGCAAGAAUUUGACCUCUGAUAAUCAUGUUGACAAAAUUGCUGUCAAUGAUGCACACAUUCCUUCCACUUCAUUCUCUCUUGCUGGUGCCUCAAAAAGAAAUGCUCCGAAGCCUGUUUUGCCCUCUGAAGCUGCAAAUACUAGUCAAGGGCACAGCAGCAAAAUUGGUCCUUCAAGUAGCUGGAUUUCUUCAUUGCAACGACUUCAUUCUUCGAAGUGAUUACUGGGGUAAUUUUUUGAUCACGCAUUGUGAGUGUAUAAAGUGGGAUACAUACUGUUCAAAAAGCUAUACUGUCAUGUUUGAUAGUAUGGCUGACAAAAUGUUAUGCAUUAUGGUUUUUAGCAAUGGAUCUGGGCAUGAAGAACUUAGUGAUGCAUCUAUUGAGGGCAGCAAAAUGUUUGGUGACUGGUGUCGUGCUUUCAGCUAUUAAUCUUUUAAGAAGUUCCCAGAGAUGCAUUCAAUGGACUCCACUGUGCUUUAUUCCUCUAUGAUAAGCAGCUCACAUUAUUCGCUAAAGGAUGUUUUUCUUCUACUGGAUUGUCCGAACGACAUAUAUAACAGAGGCCUAUUACUCAGGGAUGACAUUUGAAGGCUAUAAAAACUGACAUUUAUGGAUUGUCACUGCUACUCAUCUAGGAGGAAACCUCCUAAAUGCCAACUGGGGAACAAUGUGUCGAGAUGAUACUGGUUAUUGAGCUACUCUUUUAUGUGAGUCUAGAAGUCUGCAGAAUGCUUUUAGUAUGCGUGCAAGGUUGUGUUGCUUACUUAUUUCUGAGUUGAAAUAUCGAAUUGGUUAUACUCUUUAGGAGUAGAAGUCAGGCCUGUAUUUAUGCUAAAGAAUUACGAUUCAAACUUGCUUUUCUGAUGUUGCUGCAA